rnacentral:tRNA from 9 species
GGGAGCAUAGCUCAGCCGGUUAGAGCACUUGCCUUACAAGCAAGGGGUCACUGGUUCGAGUCCAGUUGUUCCCACCA